UGCACACCCAACUCCUCGCCACUAUCUUGUCCCAGUGCACAGUACCUGCAUCCACAAACUGUUGUAGGGGUGAGCUUUCGUCCUCACUGCUCAAGGAGCUCUUGAAAACAGAUAAAAAAAUAGUUUCAUAGGGCCCAGUAUAAAAAUAAGAUUGAAUCCAAAUAUUUAAUGAACGACAAACUUUCAAAAACAGUUUUAUGAUCAAAUAAAUGUGACGCCAUAAAACUGUACCUGAUGGCCGGCCCUUUUUAGACCCACUACCCAACUUACCUCACUAUAUAUGUGUACAACAGGUAAGUGUAGCGAGAGUGUCCACAAACGCCCUAUCGCCUAGAAGCAGUGCCACUCCACAAGGGAUGUAAGACACUCUUCCGUCCAUAAAGGCCCCUCUGGAGGUUUAGGGGAUCAAACCUAAGGUAGUCGCUAUGCUCCUCUCACUCUCAAGACAUCAAUUUCUCAUAACACCGGUUACCAUAUUUUUAUCGGAUAACCGGAUCAUGCAAUAUCAUAUAUGCAUAAACAUUUUAUAAAACAAAUAUCAUUAAUCAACGGAGUUCCGGGUCCCCUACCUGGAAUCCGAGGCUUUCCUCAUGAACUCCGAGAAUCACGAACAUUCCGCUCCUCGGGUAACUAGAGUCCCUAUUAUCUGACAACAUUACGACCGUUAAUAUAAGGUAACAUUCAAUAGCACUCAACAAACUUUCAAGUCAAUCAACUUAUUUCUCUGUUGGGUGUAAUCCUUUCAAUUUACUAAGAUUUAUUUAAUCCUUGCUCAUAAUUUCACUUUUAUUCUUAGCCCCCUUUAAAUCUUUCCAGACUAAACUAAACAUACUUCCACAUGAAGAUAAUAUUUGGACGUAUGGGUCACAUGGCACCAUAAUCAUAUUAACUUGAUCAAAUCAACCCGCACAGCCAUUACAAAUACUACACCACAGUACACAUACUUCAUGAUUCUCACUCUUGCUCAGUUUCAAAAUGAUACAGGUGUAUCCGUAUCCUACUAGGAACUUAGUUAGUUUUCAUAGUUAACCAUGUCAGGAAUUCUGUUUCUUAAUUACUUAGAUUAGGAAUAGUCUUCAGGUUAGUUAUGGAUUCUAGUUCUAUAAAUAAGAGAUGUUUAGUUAGAACUAAACAUAGACGAAACAGAAAGUAAAC
rnacentral:lncRNA from 1 species